UACAGAGGUCCCAAGCGUUGUUCGGAUUCAUUGGGCGUAAAGGGUGCGUAGGCGGCGCGGUAAGUCGGGUGUGAAAUCUCGGGCUUAACUCCGAAACUGCAUUCGAAUACUGCCGUGCUUGAGGACUGGAGAGGAGACUGGUAAUUUACGGUGUAGCGGUGAAAUGCGUAGAUAUCGUAAGGAAGACCAGUGGCGAAGGCGGGUCUCUGGACAGGUUCCAGACGCUGAGGCACGAAGGUCAGGGAGCAAACGGG
rnacentral:rRNA from 1 species